AUGAGCAAUACUGCACACAAGGCCAUCUAUUUUGAUGCAUGGCAUGGGCUCGCUGCUUCUGCGGUGCUUAGAGCCAUAGCUGAAGACCCUCCGCCAUCUUUGCUGAAGAAAUUCGACAAGAUCAUCCACGUCGAUUGCUCCAGGUGGAAAAGCCAAAGAGCACUCCAGAGGACAAUCGCAAAAGAACUAAAGCUUCCUCGUCGGGUAAUGGAUAUUUUUGAUAGGCAAGAUGAGGAAGAUGAUUUCAGAGGAGUAGAUGAAGGCUCAAGAGCUGAAAUAGGAUUCGUUGGGAGAGAGAUCUUUCGGGUCCUUAUGGGCCAUAGAUGUUUAGUGGUCUUUCAUAAUGGAAGCAAUGAUAUGGUUAAUUUAAGUGGUUUUGGCAUUCCUCAAGGAGAAUUUUUUGAAACCAAAGUAUUGUGGACAUUUCGAGGAAGGCUUCGGCUCAACCCACGAAUUAGUGAGAAGGUGGAUAGUUCACAUCUUUUUCUUUACGAUCACUCGAUGGGUCACGGUUGGAAUUAUUUGCUGCAAAAUGAAGCUAGAGAAAUUGCUAGGCACAUAAAUAAGCUUCCUGAAGUACUUGAAGAGUGUUGCCUGUAUCUGCUGGUAUUAAAUUCUCAAGGAGGUAAUGUCAUGCACUACGACUGGGCCACCCAUGCUUCGAGCUAUUGGGUAUGUGAUGGGAUUAUAAAGGGAGGUCAGUCAGACGAAGCAUGGGAGAUUGCGGCUGCUCUGCAUCAAUACAUACAUAUAGAGGAUUAUUCAUCUAAUGAAAUUCCCUCUUUUGGUCAUAAACUGAAGACUCCUUGGAAACCGCAGAUAUUGGUCAAGGACAACUUUGUUGUGCAUCAAAAUUCAACUUCCUUUUUUAUUGCUGCAGUUGCAAGUGAUUCUGAUCCUCCAUUAAGGCCCUUACCUAAUGGGUUGUUUCAUCUAUCGGACAAACUUUGUGUUAUCAAGUUAUGCCGCUGCACCUUCAGUUUUCCUUUACCUCCUUUCUGUGGUUGCCGCAGCUUAAGGUUCCUCGGAUUAGAUAGUUGCAAGAAUCAACAAGUAUUAGAAGAAGGGAAGCAAGAUAGACCACCAAUGAAAUUUUUUCAGAGCUUAUGGGUGCUAAGCAUAUGUCACACUGAUUGGGAGUUGGAUUUGUCAGCACACAUCAUGGAGCAUAUGCCUGUAAACAUUGGGGAGGUACAUAUAAAGAAAGGAAGGAUUUGGUGCCGCGGUUUUCCAUGGAGAAAAUUGCAGAACCUUCGUAAGCUUCGAUUGAUUGAGCCUACAUCACCUUGGCAUACAUGUGAAAUGGAUGAAUUUACAGAUAUGGUGAACAUGGAAUUCCUCGACCUAUCAAGGAAUAGCACAAUACAAGGUUUGCCAAGUCUCUCAAAAGCAGCUAGCCUUAAGACUCUGAUACUAGAUGGUUGCAUUGGUUUGGAGCAGGUUGAAAGUCUACCUCCAUCACUUGAAUCAUUCAGCUUAGAUGCAGGACCAAGAAAUGAUGAUUACAAGGCAGCCAAAAUAAGCCGCAUCUCCAUUGCUGGUUGUGCAAGAUUGUCUGACUUCACACUGCGUGGAUCACUUCCAAACCUUGAGGAGCUGGACCUCUCAGGCACAAGAGUCAAAACACUUGACCUCACAACCCAGGUGGUGCAACUUCCAUGUCUCCAAAAAAUUAUUCUAUUGGGAUGUAUGCAGCUCAAAGCCAUUUUAUGGUCAGAAAGAGGUCUACCAACACUAAAAGUGCUUCACAUAGAUUCAUCGAUGUGUCCUGUUCAAACAAAACUACAUGAAGUGUAUGUUACUAUAAUGGAUCUAAGGUUUUUUCAGUCCUUGGUAUUACAAAACAAUCUUCAAUUCUGUUGGAAGAGCAAUAGGUUCCAUAUAAAUGUUUGUGUCCCUUGUACCACCAAUGUUAAGGGACAAAGCUAUAUGAAGGAGGAAAUGGGCCCCGGUAUUAGUGGGCACAUAAUGGAUCUGCCUCAACAAUAUUCAUUAAUCCCCAAUACUUACAACACCUACAUUGAUGUCUCUGUUGGGAACAUAAUUAUUGAUCACGACUACAACAAUGGAUUGCAGUUUCAGCCACCAGGCUGCCAUGUUGAGAUUGGUAAGGGAAUUAGCAACCUUAGCGUGGAGAGCUUACAAACAAUCGAGGCUAUCAUCUUUGCAAUGGACGAAGCCAAGUCAUUGCAUGUGCAUGAUAAUUCUUGCAUCACCACGGUCAUCCCUGAACACAUGAUGUCCAUAGAUGACAGGAAACUUGGUUGGCAACAUCUAAAACAGUGCCGUGUGGUGAGAUGCCCCAAGAUGCACACAGUCUUCACCACUAACUACGAUACCAUCUACCCCUUUGAAGAAAUAGAGACCUUUUGGGCGGCUGACUUACUGAUGGCCCAUUGCAUUUGGAGCAAAGGAAGGACCUUCAAUGGCAUGGAUAUAUACUCAUUUGCAAAACUGCGGAGCAUACAUCUCUACUCUUGCCCAAGGCUCUCAUUUGUGCUUCCAUUAUUGUGGGCUAUUCAGGCAUCAUAUUUGCGCAACUUAGAGAGUUUCCACAUUGUCAACUGUGGUGACCUAAAGAUGGUAUUCCCUGUCCAUUCCGGCCGCCUGGAACGUGUACUUCAGUUCCCAAGCCUGAAGCACAUCCAUCUGUAUGAGCUCCAUAAGUUGCAACGUAUAUGUGAGUUCAAGAUGCUUGCUCCCAAGCUUGAGAGGGUAUGGCUUAGGGGAUGCUGGGGUCUCAGGCGCCUCCCAGCCGUCGGCCGAGAUAGCCGCCCCGUCGUUGACUGCGAGAAGGAUUGGUGGGAGAAGCUUGAGUGGGAUGGCCUGGAGGCCGGCCAUGACCCUUCCCUCUUCAAGCCGUGCCACUCGUCUUAUUACAAGAUGCCCAUGGAGAGAUUCUCGGUUCUCCGGUGA
rnacentral:rRNA from 1 species